AAACCAUGAUAAGGACAACCUCGAAGUAAUUCUUUGCAUUUUUCCCAAGCCUGAUACAACAAUUCAGAAUCUUGCUGCAUGAACAAUGUGAUAUCAUUCCUCAUUUU
rnacentral:snoRNA from 1 species